GAUGAAGAACGUAGCGAAAUGCGAUAAGUAAUGUGAAUUGCAGAAUUUAGUGAAUCAUCGAAUCUUUGAACGCACAUUGCGCCCGUCAGUAUUCUGGCGGGCAUGCCUGUUCGAGCGUCAUUACGCCCCUCAAGUCCCCUGUGGACUUGGUGUUGGGGAUCGGCGAGGCUGGUUUUCCAGCACAGCCGUCCCUUAAAUUAAUUGGCGGUCUCGCCGUGGCCCUCCUCUGCGCAGUAGUAAAACACUCGCAACAGGAGCCCGGCGCGGUCCACUGCCGUAAAACCCCCCAACUUUUUAUAGUUGACCUCGAAUCAAGUAGGACUACCCGCUGAACUUAAGCAUAUCAAUAAGCGGAGGA
rnacentral:misc_RNA from 1 species